CCUACGGGAGGCAGCAGUGGGGAAUAUUGGGCAAUGGGCGCAAGCCUGACCCAGCAACGCCGCGUGAAGGAAGACGGCUUUAGGGUUGUAAACUUCUUUUAGGAGGGAAGAGCAGGAGACGGUACCUCUUGAAUAAGCCACGGCUAACCGCGUGACAACAGCCACGGUCAUACGUAGGUGGCGCGCGUUGUCCGGAUUUACGGGGGGUAAAGGGCGUGUAGCAGGGAUGACAAGGCAGAUGUGAAAUUCCGGGGCUCAACCCCGGACCUGCGGUUGAAACUGUUGGUCUUGAGUAUCGGAGAGGCAGGCGGAAUUCCUAGUGUAGCGGUGAAAUGCGUAGAUAUUAGGAAGAACACCAGUGGCGAAGGCGGCCUGCUGGCCGACAACUGACGGUGAGGCGCGAAAGCGUGGGGAGCAAACAGGAUUAGAUACCCGAGUAGUC
rnacentral:rRNA from 1 species